CAGAGAAUGAGAACAUACGCUUACUCAUGAGAACAUAGGCUUACUGGUAAACUGUACAUUAGGGGGUACUAGAGGUGAGGACAUAGGCUUACUGGUAAACUGUACAUUAGGGGGUACUAGAGGUGAGGACAUAGGCUUACUGGUAAACUGUACAUUAGGGGGUACUAGCGGUGAGGACAUAGGCUUAUAGGUAAACUGUACAUUAGGGGGUACUAGCGGUGAGGACAUAGGCUUAUAGGUAAACUGUACAUUAGGGGGUACUAGCGGUGAGGACAUAGGCUUAUAGGUAAACUGUACAUUAGAGGGUACUAGAGGUGAGGACAUAGGCUAACUGGUAAACUGUACAUUAGGGGGUACUAGAGGUGAGGACAUAGGCUUAUAGGUAAACUGUACAUUAGGGGGUACUAGAGGUGAGGACAUAGGCUUAUAGGUAAACUGUACAUUAGAGGGUACUAGAGGUGAGAACAGGCUUAUAGGUAAACUGUACAUUAGGGGGUACUAGCGGUGAGGACAUAGGCUUAUAGGUAAACUGUACAUUAGAGGGUACUAGAGGUGAGGACAUAGGCUAACUGGUAAACUGUACAUUAGGGGGUACUAGAGGUGAGAACUUGGCUAACUGGUAAACUGUACAUUAGGGGGUACUAGCGGUGAGGACAUAGGCUUAUAGGUAAACUGUACAUUAGAGGGUACUAGAGGUGAGGACAUAGGCUUACUGGUAAACUGUAC
ensembl:lncRNA